UACGGCCACAUCGCGUUAAAACACCGGUUCGCGUACGUUCAGCGAAGUUAAGCAACGUCGACCUUGGUCUGUACCUAGAUGGGUGACGGCUUGAGAAUACUAGGUACCGAA